CCUACGGGAGGCAGCAGUAGGGAAUAUUCGUCAAUGGGCGCAAGCCUGAACGAGCGAUGCCGCGUGAGUGAAGAAGGCCUUCGGGUCGUAAAGCUCUGUUGCUGGGGAAGAAAGGCAGCAUCAGGAAUUGGGUGCUGACUGAUGGUGCCCCGCCAGAAAGUCACGGCUAACUACGUGCCAGCAGCCGCGGUAAUACGUAGGUGGCGAGCGUUAUCCGGAAUGGUUGGGCGUAAAGGGUGCGCAGGCGGUACUGCAAGUCUGGAGUGAAACGCAUGAGCUCAACUCAUGAAUGGCCUUGGAAACUGGAGGACUGGAGAGCAGGAGAGGGAGGUGGAACGCGAUGUGUAGCGGUAAAAUGCGUAGAUAUAUGGAAGAACACCAGUGGCGAAGGCGGCCGCCUGGCCUGUUGCUGACGCUGAGGCACGAAAGCGUGGGGAGCAAAUAGGAUUAGAUACCCUUGUAGUC
rnacentral:rRNA from 1 species